UACGGGGGGGGCAAGCGUUGUUCGGAAUUACUGGGCGUAAAGGGCUCGUAGGCGGCCAACUAAGUCAGACGUGAAAUCCCUCGGCUUAACCGGGGAACUGCGUCUGAUACUGGAUGGCUUGAGGUUGGGAGAGGGAUGCGGAAUUCCAGGUGUAGCGGUGAAAAUGCGUAGAUAUCGGAUUUGGAACGCCAAUGGUGUAAAACAGGGUCGCUGGGGAUGAGCUGACGCUGAGACACGAAAGCCAGGGGAGCAAACGGGA
rnacentral:rRNA from 1 species